rnacentral:rRNA from 1 species
AUUGAACGCUGGCGGCAGGCCUAACACAUGCAAGUCGAGCGGAUGAAGGGAGCUUGCUCCUGGAUUCAGCGGCGGACGGGUGAGUAAUGCCUAGGAAUCUGCCUGGUAGUGGGGGAUAACGUCCGGAAACGGGCGCCAAUACCGCAUACGUCCUGAGGGAGAAAGUGGGGGAUCUUCGGACCUCACGCUAUCAGAUGAGCCUAGGUCGGAUUAGCUAGUUGGUGGGGUAAAGGCCUACCAAGGCGACGAUCCGUAACUGGUCUGAGAGGAUGAUCAGUCACACUGGAACUGAGACACGGUCCAGACUCCUACGGGAGGCAGCAGUGGGGAAUAUUGGACAAUGGGCGAGAGCCUGAUCCAGCCAUGCCGCGUGUGUGAAGAAGGUCUUCGGAUUGUAAAGCACUUUAAGUUGGGAGGAAGGGCAGUAAGUUAAUACCUUGCUGUUUUGACGUUACCAACAGAAUAAGCACCGGCUAACUUCGUG